GAUGAAGAACGUAGUGAAAUGCGAUAAGUAAUGCGAAUUGCAGAAUUUCCGUGAGUCAUCGAAUCUUUGAACGCACAUUGCGCCCACUGGUAUUCCGGUGGGCAUGCCUGUUCGAGCGUCAUUAUCCUCCCUCAAACCCCGGGUUUGGUGUUGGACCGAAGUUGUGUGAACAACUGGUCUAAAAAACAAUGACGGCGUCCGUGGGACCCUCGGUGCAACGAGCUUUUAGGAGCACGCGCCGAGUUGCAAGGACCUUCCGGGCCGGUCUCCUUUUACUAUUUUACAAGGUUGACCUCGGAUCAGGUAGGAAUACCCGCUGAACUUAAGCAUAUCAUAAGCGGAGGA
rnacentral:misc_RNA from 1 species